rnacentral:rRNA from 1 species
CCUACGGGUGGCAGCAGUGAGGAAUAUUGGUCAAUGGACGCAAGUCUUAACCAGCCAAGUAGCGUGCAGGAUGACGGCCCUCCGGGUUGUAAACUGCUUUUAGUUGGGAAUAAAAGGGGGCUCGUGAGCCCCGUAUUGUAUGUACCAUCAGAUCAAGGACCGGCUAAUUCCGUGCCAGCAGCCACGGUAAUACGGAAGGACCGGGAUUUAUCCGGAUUUACUGGGGUUAAAGGGAGCGUAGGCCGGCUUGUAAGUCAGCUGUGAAAGUCCGCGGCUCAACCUGGGAAUUGCAGUUGAGACUGGAGGCCUUGAGUGCACACAGGGAUGCCGGAAUUCAUGGUGUAGCGGUGAAAUGCUUAGAUAUCAUGAAGAACUCCGAUCGCGAAGGCAAGUGUCCGGGGUGCAACUGACGCUGAGGCUCGAAAGUGCGGGUAUCAAACAGGAUUAGAUACCCCAGUAGUC